GAUGAACGCUGGCGGCGUGCCUAAUACAUGCAAGUCGAGCGAACGGACGAGAAGCUUGCUUUUCUGAUGUUAGCGGCGGACGGGUGAGUAACACGUGGAUAACCUACCUAUAAGACUGGGAUAACUUCGGGAAACCGGAGCUAAUACCGGAUAAUAUUUUGAACCGCAUGGUUCAAAAGUGAAAGACGGUCUUGCUGUCACUUAUAGAUGGAUCCGCGCUGCAUUAGCUAGUUGGUAAGGUAACGGCUUACCAAGGCAACGAUGCAUAGCCGACCUGAGAGGGUGAUCGGCCACACUGGAACUGAGACACGGUCCAGACUCCUACGGGAGGCAGCAGUAGGGAAUCUUCCGCAAUGGGCGAAAGCCUGACGGAGCAACGCCGCGUGAGUGAUGAAGGUCUUCGGAUCGUAAAACUCUGUUAUCAGAGAAGAACAUAUGUGUAAGUAACUGUGCACAUCUUGACGGUACCUAAUCAGAAAGCCACGGCUAACUACGUG
rnacentral:rRNA from 1 species